GACGAACCGAGCGAACGUUGUUCGGAAUCACUGGGCUUAAAGGGCGCGUAGGCGGGCUGUCAAGUUUGGGGUGAAAUCCCGCGGCUCAACCGUGGAACUGCCUCAAAUACUGACGGUCUCGAGGGAUGUAGGGGCGAGCGGAACUGUGAGUGGAGCGGUGAAAUGCGUUGAUAUUCACAGGAACUCCGGUGGCGAAGGCGGCUCGCUGGACAUUUUCUGACGCUGAGGCGCGAAAGCUAGGGGAGCAAACGGG
rnacentral:rRNA from 1 species